rnacentral:rRNA from 1 species
UACGUAGGGUGCAAGCGUUGUCCGGAAUUAUUGGGCGUAAAGAGCUCGUAGGCGGUUGGUCGCGUCGGCUGUGAAAACCCGGAGCUCAACUCCGGGCCUGCAGUCGAUACGGGCGGACUAGAGUUCGGCAGGGGAGACUGGAAUUCCUGGUGUAGCGGUGAAAUGCGCAGAUAUCAGGAGGAACACCGGUGGCGAAGGCGGGUCUCUGGGCCGAUACUGACGCUGAGGAGCGAAAGCGUGGGGAGCGAACAGG